CCUACGGGAGACAGCAGUGAGGAAUAUUGGUCAAUGGACGGAAGUCUGAACCAGCCAAGUAGCGUGCAGGAUGAAGGCCCUAUGGGUUGUAAACUUCUUUUGCAUGGGGAUAAAAUCUUCCACUUGUGGAGGUCUGUAGGUACCGUGUGAAUAAGGAUCGGCUAAGUCCGUGCCAGCAGCCGCGGUAAUACGGAGGAUCCGAGCGUUAUCCGGAUUUAUUGGGUUUAAAGGGAGCGUAGGCGGACGUUAAAGUCAGCUGUAAAAGCGUGGGGCUCAACCGAGCCCCGCAGUUGAAACUGGGAGUCUUGAGUUCACUAGAGGUAGGCGGAAUUCGUGGUGUAGCGGUGAAAUGCUUAGAUAUCACGAAGAACUCCGAUUGCGAAGGCAGCCUACCGGAGUGCAACUGACGCUGAGGCUCGAAAGUGUGGGUAUCAAACAGGAUUAGAUACCCCAGUAGUC
rnacentral:rRNA from 1 species